rnacentral:rRNA from 1 species
UACGUAGGGUGCGAGCGUUAAUCGGAAUUACUGGGCGUAAAGCGUGCGCAGGCGGUUCUGUAAGUCAGAUGUGAAAGCCCCGGGCUCAACCUGGGAACUGCGUUUGAAACUACAGGACUAGAGUAUGGCAGAGGGGGGUAGAAUUCCACGUGUAGCAGUGAAAUGCGUAGAGAUGUGGAGGAAUACCAAUGGCGAAGGCAGCCCCCUGGGUCAAUACUGACGCUCAUGCACGAAAGCGUGGGGAGCAAACAGG